UACGGGGGGGCAAGCGUUGUUCGGAAUUACUGGGCGUAAAGGCUCGUAGGUGGCCAACUAAGUCAGACGUGAAAUCCCUCAGCUUAACUGGGGAACUGCGUCUGGUACUGGAUGGCUUGAGUUUGGGAGAGGGAUGCGGAAUUCCAGGUGGUAGCGGUGAAAUGCGUAGAGAUCGGGAGGAACAUCAGUUGCGAAGGCGGCUCUCGUGGACCAGCACUGACACUGAGGCACGAAAGCGUGGGGAGCAAACAGG
rnacentral:rRNA from 1 species